rnacentral:rRNA from 1 species
UACAGAGGCCUCGAGCGUUAGGCGGAAUCACUGGGCUUAAAGCGUGUGUAGGCGGACUUCUAAGUGCCUUGUGAAAUCCCACGGCUCACCCGUGGAACGGCUGGGUAUACUGGUUGUCUUGAGCCAGCUAGGGGCGAGCGGAACAGACGGUGGAGCGGUGAAAUGCGUAGAUAUCGUCUGGAACGCCGAAGGUGAAAACAGCUCGCUGGGGCUGCGCUGACGCUGAGACACGAAAGCCAGGGGAGCGAACGGG